rnacentral:rRNA from 1 species
UACGUAGGGGGCAAGCGUUGUCCGGAUUUAUUGGGCGUAAAGAGCGUGUAGGCGGCCAGGUAGGUCUGCUGUGAAAACUCGAGGCUCAACCUCGAGACGUCGGCGGAAACCAUCUGGCUAGAGUCCGGGAGGGGCGAGUGGAAUUCCUGGUGUAGCGGUGAAAUGCGCAGAUAUCAGGAGGAACACCUAUUGCGAAGGCAGCUCGCUGGGACGUAACUGACGCUGAGACGCGAAAGCGUGGGGAGCAAACAGG